CAUUUCAGCCGAUCAACCUGGAGAGGGAGGGGGAGGAGGGGCAGAGAUACGUGCUGCUGGAAUAAAAUAAGAUCAAGCGGGGGGAAAAAUUAUGUAUACACGUAUAGGCAGCUAGAGAUCUCCCUGCCUGCCUCCUCCCCUCCCCCGAGACGGGCAGCUCCGAUCCCGCAGGAACGCCUGAAACUGUUUCAGACCAAGAAUGGUAACUACAAUGGGACAAUCCAGCCGUUUACCAACAAAUGAACAGAACUUACAGAAGUGUACAUGAAUAGCCCUGUAACAUGAGCACCUUCACUGCACUGCCUGGUGAGGGAUGCACUGGGGCCGGCAGGAGUACAGCCUGACGCAGGACACCAGAGUCAGACAGUCAAGAACAGAAAAUUGGAUUUUUACAACCCAUUGGUAUCUCACCACCACCUUCUUCCAGGUCCUCUACAACUGUGGUACAAGUCCAACUGUCCUGGAAAGGUAUAUGUGACUCACACCACAGCUGCUGGCUCACAGCAGGGAUUUUCUCCUCUUGAAGUUCAUUUCCAGGACCAGAUUAAGAAGCAGUAGCCUACAACAGGGAGAUUUGCUAUCCCUAUUCCCAGUCAUUCUGCUUCUCUGCACUUUGCUGUAACUUUAUAGAGAAUAAAAAUAAAAAAUCAUAUAAACAU